rnacentral:rRNA from 1 species
UACGAAGGGGGCAAGCGUUGUUCGGAAUUACUGGGCGUAAAGCGCACGUAGGCGGCUUUGCAAGUCGGGUGUGAAAUCCCCGGGCUCAACCUGGGAACUGCAUCCGAGACUGCUUUGCUCGAGUAUGGGAGAGGGAAGUGGAAUUUCCGGUGUAGCGGUGAAAUGCGUAGAUAUCGGAAGGAACAUCAGUGGCGAAGGCGACUUCCUGGACCAAUACUGACGCUCAGGUGCGAAAGCGUGGGGAGCAAACAGG